rnacentral:lncRNA from 1 species
AUGCACCUAUUAUGUGGGCAUGGAAGGAAAAUUUCUUCUAAACUUUCUCCUGAUAUUCCUGUUUUCUGGGCAGGUAAAGAAAGGAAACAAGCAAGGAGGAAUAGCAUCAACAAGAAGCUCAGGAUGGACAACUGUUUAAAGGGGGAAAUGCUGGUUAAAUCAAGGUCCAGAUUAAAAAUGUGGAUGUCUUUCAUUUCAUUCUCUUGCCUAAUUGUUCUGGCUAGCACAUGCAGUUGAAUACAAGUGGUAAGAAUAUGCAUUAUUAUCUUGUUCCUAAUCGUACAGGAAAAGCUUUCAACAUUCCAUCAUUGAGUAUCAUGUUAGGUGUGAGCUAGUGAUAUAUGGCUUUUUUUUUUUUUUUUGGUACAUUCCUUCUAUAAGUAAUUCAUGGAGACUUUUUAUUAAAAAAGCAUUGAAUUUUGUAAAUGCUUUUUCUGCAUCUGUUGAGAUGAUCAUAUAAUUUUUGUUCUUUCUUUUCUUAAUGUGGAGUAUUUUGUUUAUUUGCGUAUGUUGAAUUAUCUUUAUAUUUCAGGGGUAAAUAUCACAUGACAUAGUGUAUGGUCCUUUUAAUGUGCUGUUUAACUUAGUUUGCUAGUAUUUUGUUGAAAAUUUUUGCUUAUAUUUUCAUCAGGAAUAUUGGCAUGUAGUUUUUUUUUUUUUUUUUUUUUUUUUUGUAUUGUGCUUGCCUAGUGUGGUUAGCAUAAUAAUGCCAGCCUUGUAAGUUUUACAACCAUAAAAAUAAAGAUUAUUACAUGUUAUUUAUUGCCUUAUAGGGCAAGCAGACAUAAUAUUCAGGACGAUAGACUUAAGAAGGGAAAUACAGGGACGGGCGCGGUGGCUCAAACCUGUAAUCCCAGCACUUUGGGAGGCCGAGGCAGGUGGAUCAUGAGGUCAAGAGAUCGAGACCAUCCUGGUCAACAUGGUGAAACCCCGUCUCUACUAAUAGUACAAAAAAUUAGCUGGGCAUGGUGGUGCAUGCCUGUAAUUCCAGCUACUCAGGAGGCUGAGGCAGGAGAAUUGCCUGAACCCAGGAGGUGGAGGUUGUGGUGAGCCGAGAUUGUGCCAUUGCGCUCCAGCCUGGGUAACUAGAGCGAAACUCCGUCUCAAAAAAAAAAAAAGGGAAAUACAAUGGAAAUGUAUACUGCUACAAUGAUUCUACAUUUUACCAGAAGUAACUUAAAAUUAUCCACAAGUAGAUUGGCUAGGUAUAAGCUACAUAUAUAAUUUCUGGUUUAACCAUUAUAUGCAGAGAUAGAAAUAGAAAGCAAGUGAAGGUAUUAAAAUGGCACUUAAAAUUCAAUAGAUUGAUAUACAAAAGAAGGCAAAAAUAAAAUAUGAAAGAGAAAAAGAAAACUAAAUGAGAAAAUUAAAAAGCAAAGAGUAAAAUAGCAG